GACGAACGCUGGCGGCGUGCUUAACACAUGCAAGUCGAACGAUGAACCCGGAGCUUGCUCCGGUGGAUUAGUGGCGAACGGGUGAGUAACACGUGAGUAACCUGCCCUUGACUCUGGGAUAACUGCGGGAAACUGUAGCUAAUACCGGAUACGACCCUCGGCGGCAUCGCCAGGGGGUGGAAAGAAUUUCGGUCAAGGAUGGACUCGCGGCCUAUCAGCUAGUUGGUGAGGUAACGGCUCACCAAGGCGACGACGGGUAGCCGGCCUGAGAGGGCGACCGGCCACACUGGGACUGAGACACGGCCCAGACUCCUACGGGAGGCAGCAGUGGGGAAUAUUGCACAAUGGGCGCAAGCCUGAUGCGGCAACGCCGCGUGAGGGAUGACGGCCUUCGGGUUGUAACCUCUUUUAGUAGGGAAGAAGCGAAAGUGACGGUACCUGCAGAAAAAGCACCGGCUAACUACGUGCCAGCCGCCGCCGUAA
rnacentral:rRNA from 1 species